GGAGCGGUGUCUGAGUGGUCGAAAGAGGCGGUCUUGAAAACCGUUGAGCCGCAAGGUUCCGGGGGUUCGAAUCCCCCCUGCUCCG
rnacentral:tRNA from 1 species